GCCCACGGCUCAACCGUGGAGGGUCAUUGGAAACUGGAAAACUUGAGUGCAGAAGAGGAAAGUGGAAUUCCAUGUGUAGCGGUGAAAUGCGCAGAGAUAUGGAGGAACACCAGUGGCGAAGGCGACUUUCUGGUCUGUAACUGACGCUGAUGUGCGA
rnacentral:rRNA from 1 species